UAUGAAUUAUGCUCAAUUGGUCGUUUUUAUUUUCUACCAACCUUUACUACUGUGACAGUGAGAUAGUGUGACAUCUUUACUAGGCUAGUGUAGCUCAUUCCUUACUUAACCAUUUCAGAUCAGGAGGACUUGAUUCCCGAGCCCGUUCCGCAGGAAGACGGCGAAUAGAAGCCUAAGGACUUAUUAGUUUUCCUUAUAGUAUUCAUU
rnacentral:lncRNA from 1 species